ensembl:lncRNA
AGUACAUUGUUUGGGUUCUAAAGGAUCCAGAUCGUCGCGGACCGAGAAGCUUGACUGCCUCUGCUCCCGAAUGGGCCGCGCGCAUCUGUCUGAAGCCCCAGUCCUCUGAACGGCAGAGAAGGAAAUGCUGGGUGGAGGGUUCCCACUCACGCAUGCCCUUCCGCGCCUCUCGCCCACUGGGGCUGGGCUUGGAUUUUGCAACCAUUUCCAUCACCGCUGCUGUACUUGGCGCAGCCCUGCUGGAAACCGGCAGGGUGUGCGCCGGCGCCCGGGAGACCUUGCCGUGCAGCGUACUCGCAGCCCCGCCCGCGGUGCCCAGUCUGGGGGAGCCGCGCUAACCCCCGCCCCGCCGCCAGGAACCCCUCCCCGGGGCCACGCUCGAGCUAUCCGGCGCUGCGUCUGCGCUGGGGACGGCUCCGCCCAGUUCUGCAGCCAGGGGUCCGGCGUUCUGGCCAGACCAGUGGUCCGAAUGUGAGAAGACUUAGGGCUCCGCCGCUCUCUCGGGCUGUUCCCCGAAGUGGUUCUGGGAGCCUAGAGGCAUAGGGGCUUAAGGAAGGAAGGGACAGGGCCAGGGAGGGCGGGAGCGAGAAGGAGGAGAGGGCAGGUCAGCGGAACUGGGAUGGGGCGCAGCCCAGCGGCGGGCACGGCCGGAGGAGAGAGAGGGCGCUGUCUUCCUGGCAAAGGAUCCCUGGCUUGGCCGGCAGGAACCGAAACAAAAAAAAAAGAAGAAGAAGAAGAAAGAAAGAAAGCACAGGAAAGGAAAUCUGCCUGGUCGACCCGGGGCGGAGGAGGGUGGGGGGUGAGGGACGCACUGUGGGGAGGGCCAAGGGUGGCCGAGCGGAUUCUCAGCCCACAGCCCAGCAACCGCUUCUUCUGCUGCGGCCUUGCUAGCGCCGCGUGGCCCCGAGCGAGACUCUUCUUUGGCCCUAAAGGGCCCCCCACAGUUGGCUUCCCUCCCUCGCUUUCUCCUCUGGAAAACUGGAGGCGUCGGUAUAAGGUCUGCGACGCUUCACUGGCGAUUGAGGUGCCGCGACGUGGCCAAGGAGCCCGCGGAAGAAAACCGCAACGCCAACCAGGCCUUCACGUCGAAGCGCCGCAGCAAAUGGCCUCACCUGGUUUGGCUGCGUCUUGCCGAGGAACAAGGAGGAGGUGGAAGGCCCUCUUUCUUUCAUCGACUGACCUGGGCGCACACUCUGGAAACCAAAGGGUCCCAAGGACAAUUACUGUCAGACAUUCCCCCACUCAAAUCCAGGAAACUUAGUUUACACUACUUCAGGAGAAAUGCCUGUAUCAUCUACAAAGGAUGUGUUGUCUUUCCAUGCGCAUAACAAACCAGUUGAAGCAAAACAAAGGAUCUCAAACUUACGUAUCUUCAGUCUUGAAAGGUCCCUCUGUGUUAAUGGAUGUAAUUAAAGGCCUUCUAGGUUUGCUGAUAGAUACUAGAACCGAUCAUCUCACAUGUCCGCCAUCGGAGAGUCCCAAGCUCCAGUCUCCACGUGAAUUUCCGGACUCUUCCAUAGCCCUUCCGGUAGAAUCCAGGUGGCCCCAUAGUUCUGCCUUUAGCAGGAGAGCUAUUUCCUAGGAGUAACUGGGUGGGCUGCAAUCCGCCUGCCUCUUCACGUUGAGAAACGCUUCUCUUGUGGGAACGUCUGUUUCUAUUCAUCCGAUUUUCUAAUGUCUUUGAUCAGCCUAAAUAUUUUCUUGGCAAACGGAAAUUGACCAUGCCAUGAAUAUGAUAACAACCUGCUUGGAAAGAAGCUAUUUUGUUUCGAAGCAGCAAGGGGGAGUGGGGGGCCGGGAAGCCAGGGAAGGGAGUAGGGGUCGGGUAACUAGCUGGCUGGUAAGAAUGCCUGAAAUAGAUUCCUGAACAUACAUCUUUUUGCAGUCUCUGAAGCAGCUUUUUGAAAGAUAGUCAGAUAAACACACACCUGGGCUCCUAAAAGUCUUUGAUACACUUUAUAUUUAAAAAAACAGAACUUCAAUGGACGCCUCUGGAGAAUUUCCCUUUAAAACAUAGAUGAAAGGCAAGGUUAAUACAAUGUUCUCUUAAUCCCUUUGGCUUGUGAGUCAAAAUAAAUAUUUUCUUCUGCAUGUUAUUGUACA